UAUUUAUUUAUUUGUUGUUGGGUUUUUUUUGGGAGGGGGUUAAAGGUAAAUUGGGUGUUGGUCUCUUUUAAAAUUUGAGAGGUCAUACUUUUUGAACAGCUGAUACAGAAAAUAUCCACAGCUUUGUUUAUAAUCAGUUAAAAUGUGUUUUUAAUUUCAUUGGGUUAAUGUCAAUGGCUUGUUUUCUAUUAUUGAAAAAUGCAAAGUCAGUCUGUGAGAAGGAGUCUUUUUUUGCUGUUGAAAGUGCGCCCUCUUGUGACCACCCUGCGCCUUAACACGAUUUUAGUGCUGAUCGAAUUGACAUUAAUGGACGAUUAUAAGAUUUGAUAAAUAUGUCAGACUCAAACUUUCUGCAUCAUGACGUGAUUAUAAAACAUCACCAUAACGCAUUAAUUCUGCAUAGCGGACACACAGUUACCAUACAUAUUAGUUUAGCCAUUUAUGUGCACUUUAACAAUCCUUUCUAAAAAAAAAAUUGUGAAAAAAGACAAACUGGUAUAGGGCACCAGCAGAGCCAGGGCCGACCCUGCUUGUAAAUCAGGUGCUGGUGUGUCCUCUUAUCUCUGUGUAGGUGAGAGUUAUUUUUCCCUUUCACAAGAGAAUGCAGUCUUACAUCUGGUCUUACCAGCUCCUUUGCAAUGUUGAGGGAUGGAGGAUAAUUAUCCCACAGACCAUGCAAAACCGCACCCUUCUCUUCUUAUUCGUAAGUAUUUCAGUAGAACAUGUCUCCACAAAUCACUGACUGGAAAUAAAUAUAUUUUUUUAUUAAUUAUGUUGGGAGGUGCCAAUACUAACAAAAAAAACAACAACGCUAUUUUCCAAAGAAAAGAAGUUGAUGCGAUGAUUUGUUGAUAUGACUUUUCUUUGUCAAGUUUCACAUUUCAGUUGUCUACUAAAAUGUGGAAAUAACGACUUUUCAGACCAUUUUCACCCGUGUUUUCUCCAUAUAGUCUCCUCAUGAUAACAGGAGGGUGAAACAGUAAAAGCACUGUGGAGUCUCUUUCUCUUUCACUACCUUUAUAACGUGUGUAUAUACAAUACACAGAGAAAAGCUCUGAGGAAACGGUGACAAUACUUAACAUUAUUUUAAUGUGAUUUAGGUGAAAUAGGUAGAGGUGAUAAAAAACAUUCAUAUUUAUAUUAUUUUUAAACAUUCAAAAAAAUUUGAUAUGUUAUGAUUACGUUAAAGAUAAUGUAAUUUUGCGCCGUUCAUAAAGUCAGUCAGACGUAAUCCCCCCCCAAGCUCUCGGCUCCGAGGCUUCACGCAUGCGCAGAUGUGUUUGACUUGAAGCUGUGUAAUGCAGACAAACAAAUUCGAGAGCAGACAACUCCGAAUUCUUCCGAAUUACUUUCACGGUAUUUUUAUGUCAAUCACGCUUCAGUCUGUGCAGUUGUCGAACACUUGUUGUGUUUAGCUCCACUAAGGCUUUUUAAAGACAAAACAUCGUUAUAAGUAAGUUAAACUAAUGUUACAGUGGUCUGUUCAAAUUUACGGUCCAAAGUGAACCAGUAUGAAUUUUAUAAUCGAUCUGUGUUCAAGCCCCCACUUAUUAUAAACAUUAAUCACAACAAAGCCUGAAAUUCACCAUAUUGAUGCAUUUAACUUUUUGCAUGGUAUUGUGUAAUUUUAUCAUUUACUCAGAUCAGUUGACAGUUUGGGCAAAUGGUGGAUUAGACGGUGCUUAUGAUUUAAAUUUUUGUCUUUUUUUUCUUUUUUUUGACUGAUAGUCUUAUGCUUAUGUAACUUGCAUGUAUACAAAUAAUGGAUUGUGCCCUGGUUAUUACAGUAGCAUGCUUUACUUUAUAUAAAUUGUUUUGCUUUACAGGCAGCCUGAAGCAGACCCUUUGCUGAAAACGGUCAGUAAGAAAGAGCUGGAGAAAGCGCUUGGUAAAUGGUUCACAAAUGCAAGAGACAGAGAAGGCAACCAUGCUUUGAGAGCUCAGCGGACCAUAAUUGGAGGGCAGUACAGCCGGAAGUGUGUGCAGCAGAGAAAUCUGCAUAAGACCCACCAGUGAACUAUUUUACUUUAGUAAUUCUGUUAUUCCUGUUUUUUUACUUGAAUUAAUUUAAAUUAAAUGUGAUUUACACA